GGGUUUGUGGCUCAGUGGUAGAGCGCUAGCCUAGCGCAUUUGAGGCCCUGGGUUCAAUCCUCAGCACCA
rnacentral:tRNA from 1 species